CAGUCUUAGUUCGGAUUGUAGGCUGCAACUCGCCUACAUGAAGUCGGAAUUGCUAGUAAUCGCGGAUCAGCAUGCCGCGGUGAAUACGUUCCCGGGCCUUGUACACACCGCCCGUCACACCAUGGGAGUCGGUAACACCCGAAGCCCGUAGUCUAACCGCAAGGAGGACGCAGUCGAAGGUGGGAUUGAUGACUGGGGUGAAGUCGUAACAAGGUACC
rnacentral:rRNA from 1 species